GAGACGUAUACAUUAACGGUGCA
rnacentral:siRNA from 1 species